CAGUAUAAUAUUCAUUCUCACGCAUAUAUAACACAUAAUUUAAUUAAAAUAUCCCAACAUAGUAAGCGUUGUUUAUACAGUACACACCAUGAUAAGUAUUGUUUAUACAACACACUCAUUCAUUGUUUUCAAAGGUAAAAAAACAAAUCAGUCCUCUUGAUCAUCAUCCUCAUCACCAGCUCCACCUUGUCUAGAAGUCCCGGCCUGCAAUUAUAAAUCAAACGUUAACAACAUGGCAUGACAUUCAAGUAUAGCAAUAAGAGAGUAUCAUGGCAUAUUCUUAUGUAUUAUACGCACGCACACGCAAUAAGACGUCUUUAAUUUUGUUGUGUUGAUUUCAUUGUCUACAUUGAUCAUGCGUCCUUAUCUGUAUGCUUUCAGACAAGUGACCUGAACAAGGCCUUGAGUCCAAACUGGAACAUGUGUAAGUGUAACACUAAUGCUGAUGUUGCAUUGCAAGCUGAUAAUAGCAAAUUGGCUUACUAUGCUUUGGAAUUUCUUUAUCGAUGGUUUCUCAACCUUGGACCCAGCUGCUGUUUCCGACUUGAGAAAGGCACAUAAAUUUUCUCCAGAAGAUGAGACUAUAGCAGAAGUUUUCAGUUGCAUUUGGAGCUGAAGUUGCUGUUGUUGCUGAUGCAAUUCUUGUUGCUGCUGCAGCUGUUGAAGAUGAUGUUGCUCCUCUAACUGAAGUUUCAAAAAUUGCUCCAACUCUGGCAUAUACUGGUUAACUGACUGUUGAUGCUGCAGAGAACCUUGAAUUUGUUCAAUAAAUGGCACAGACGAAUUCUGACGAGAAAGCAAGCGCUGCUGCUGAAGCUGCUGUUGCUGUUGCUGCUGCUGCUG